AACGAACGCUGGCGGCAUGCCUAACACAUGCAAGUCGAACGAGACCUUCGGGUCUAGUGGCGCACGGGUGCGUAACGCGUGGGAAUCUGCCCUUGGGUUCGGAAUAACAGUUAGAAAUGACUGCUAAUACCGGAUGAUGACGUAAGUCCAAAGAUUUAUCGCCCAAGGAUGAGCCUGCGUAGGAUUAGCUUGUUGGUGAGGUAAAAGCUCACCAAGGCGACGAUCCUUAGCUGGUCUGAGAGGAUGAUCAGCCACACUGGGACUGAGACACGGCCCAGACUCCUACGGGAGGCAGCAGUGGGGAAUAUUGGACAAUGGGCGAAAGCCUGAUCCAGCAAUGCCGCGUGAGUGAUGAAGGCCUUAGGGUUGUAAAGCUCUUUUACCCGGGAUGAUAAUGACAGUACUGGGAGAAUAAGCCCCGGCUAACUACGUGCCAGCCGCCGCGGUAAUAC
rnacentral:rRNA from 1 species